rnacentral:misc_RNA from 1 species
GAUGAAGAACGUAGCGAAAUGCGAUAAGUAAUGUGAAUUGCAGAAUUCAGUGAAUCAUCGAAUCUUUGAACGCACCUUGCGCUCCUUGGUAUUCCGAGGAGCAUGCCUGUUUGAGUGUCAUGAAAUUCUCAACCUUUUCAGCUUUCUUUGUUGAUCAGGCUUGGAUGUGGGAGUAUGCGGGCUUCUCAGAAGUCGGCUCUCCUGAAAUGCAUUAGCGGGACCUUUGUUGCCUGGCUUUGGUGUGAUAAUUAUCUACGCCAUUGUAGUCAAGCAGCUUAAAAUGAGGUUUCAGCUUCUAACCGUCUCCCCUGAGACAACUUUUUGGCAAUUUGACCUCAAAUCAGGUAGGACUACCCGCUGAACUUAAGCAUAUCAAUAAGCGGAGGA